rnacentral:tRNA from 1 species
GCGAAGAUGGCGGAAUCGGCAGACGCGCUAGCUUCAGGUGUUAGUGUCUUAAGACGUAAGACGUGAGGGUUCAAUUCCCUCUCUUCGCA